rnacentral:rRNA from 1 species
UUCCUACGGGCGGCUGCAGUGGGGAAUCUUGCACAAUGGGGGAAACCCUGAUGCAGCGACGCCGCGUGAGCGAUGAAGCCCUUCGGGGUGUAAAGCUCUUUCGGCGGGGACGAAAGAAGACGGUACCCGCAGAAGCAGCUGCGGCUAACUACGUGCCAGCAGCCGCGGUAAUACGUAGGCAGCGAGCGUUGUUCGGAGUUACUGGGCGUAAGGGGUGUGUAGGCGGUUCUCCGUGUCUGGUGUGAAAUCUCCCGGCUCAACUGGGAGGGUGCGCCGGAAGCUGGAGGGCUUGGAGUGCGGGAUGGGGGAGUGGAAUUCCUGGUGUAGCGGUGAAAUGCGUAGAUAUCAGGAGGAACACCGGUGGUGUAGACGGCUCUCUGGACCGUAACUGACGCUGAGACACGAAAGCGUGGGUAGCAAACAGGAUUAGAUACCCUUGUAGUCACG